rnacentral:rRNA from 1 species
AUCAUGGCUCAGAACGUACGCUGGCGGCACGCUAACACAUGCAAGUCGAACGAAGUAGCAAUACUUAGUGGCAGACGGGUGAGUAACAUGUAGGUAUCUACCCUUUGGCCUGGAAUAACACGAGGAAACUUGUGCUAAUACCGGAUAAGUCUUUACGGAGAAAGCUUUAUGCACCAUUGGAUGAGCCUGCACUUGAUUAGUUUGUUGGUGGGGUAAUGGCCUACCAAGACUGUGAUCAAUAGCUGAUUUGAGAGGAUGAUCAGCCACAUUGGGACUGAGACACGGCCCAAACUCCUACGGGAGGCAGCAGUGGGGAAUCUUGCACAAUGGAGGAAACUCUGAUGCAGCGAUGCCGCGUGAGUGAAGAAGGCCUUUGGGUUGUAAAGCUCUUUCGUCGGGGAAGAAAAUGACUGUACCCGAAUAAGAAGGUCCGGCUAACUUCGUGCCAGCAGCCGCGGUAAUACGAAGGGACCUAGCGUAGUUCGGAAUUACUGGGCUUAAAGAGUUCGUAGGUGGUUGAAAAAGUUAGUGGUGAAAUCCCAGAGCUUAACUCUGGAACUGCCAUUAAAACUUUUCAGCUAGAGUAUGAUAGAGGAAAGCAGAAUUUCUAGUGUAGAGGUGAAAUUCGUAGAUAUUAGAAAGAAUACCAAUUGCGAAGGCAGCUUUCUGGAUCAUUACUGACACUGAGGAACGAAAGCAUGGGUAGCGAAGAGGAUUAGAUACCCUCGUAGUCCAUGCCGUAAACGAUGUGUGUUAGACGUUGGAAAUUUAUUUUCAGUGUCGCAGCGAAAGCGAUAAACACACCGCCUGGGGAGUACGACCGCAAGGUUAAAACUCAAAUGAAUUGACGGGGACCCGCACAAGUAGUGGAGCAUGUGGUUUAAUUCGAAGAUACGCGCAGAACCUUACCAACACUUGACAUGUUCGUCGCGACUCUAAGAGAUUAGAGUUUUCGGUUCGGCCGGACGAAACACAGGUGCUGCAUGGCUGUCGU